UUCGACCUGCACGACCCGUUUCAAAACCUGGCCACCCCGUGUGAUUUUCCAAUGGUUUUGCACCAUUCCUCCAAUGAAUUUCAGCCACCCACCAUUUGGAAUCAACUCAGCAUCAUCUCCUCUUCCAUAUUCAGCCAUAAAUCAACACGAAUGGAUCACAUUUUCGUGAGAUAGCACCGGAGGGGUGCGCGGUGUAUGGUGGCGAAAUCCAUCAUUUCUGAAAUGAAUUUCCUCGAUCUCCACCACCAUUAGACUUCCCUUGAGCCCCUGAAAUCAGUUAUAGGGGCGGCGGAACACCGAGGAGCGAGAAUUGAAGCCACCCAAAUUCUAGGGUUUUUCGGCGGAUUUGAUGAAAUUGGGGCAUUUCCAGGCCAAAGUGGACUUGGUCGCAGGUAUAAAGUUUGAUGUACUCUUUGAGAUCUUCAUUUCUGUAAUUUUUGGGAAUUUUUUGAAAUAAUUGGAUUUUCCGGCGAGUCGGAGCGGCCGACCGCCACCCACGGCGGCGGCGCGUGGCCAGUGGGCCGCCAAUGCUAUUUUUAGGCUAUGUUAAAUGUCUUGAAUUCAGUUUUGAUAUUUGAAUAAUGUAGGUUAAUCAUUGGAACCUAAAUUCUCUACGAUACGUUAUUAGGUAUUUAUGUGAAUCAAUGAUCCAACCGUUGGAUCGUCACCAAACUUUGUUACAUUGUAGUAAGUAAUAUUUGAAGAAUGUAGGAACUUACGGAUUGGGAAUCCGACAUACGGAUCUUCCCUAAUUGGAUUUGUAAGUUAAUAAAAUAAAACAUUAACCGCUAAUCAGUUUUGGAAAUUGGGGGAGAUUCGACCGUUGGGUCGUACUGAAACUUAAGUAUGUUGUUCUAGAAGCAUAUGUGUAUCAUGAGAAGUUAUAGAUUGGAAAUCUAAAAUGCGGAUCUUCCGGAUCAAGUUUUGCAGGGUUGUGGACCCAACCUUCGAUCUUCGAUCGACGGUUGACUCUUGGUUAAUGGGUCUCAAAUUACUCUUGAAGGUCCUUGAGGAAAUGUUUUAUGUAAAAUUAUGUAUUCUAUCGGUAAGAACUUUGAGACAUGAUUUGAUAAUUGGUCGCAGGCGACGAUAGUUCGUGAUGUCUCGAUAUUCUUACAAGGGAGUCGUAGCGCGAACCUAAGGUGAGUAAAUCUUUUCUCUUCUAUCGUGUGUGUGUAUAUAUAUAUUUAUAUAUAUAAGAUUUACAUCUCCACAAACGUUUAUAAAUUAAUAUUUAAUAUAAUUUAUGUGAAUGUUUUGUAGGACAAUGUGAACUAUGAAUGGCUUGAUCCCUGUUUAGGUUACAUAAGCAGUCUAACGAGACGUUAGAUGCAACCAUAUAAUAAGUAAGAAUGAAUAAUCGAGACAAUAGCCUAGUUUGGGAAUGGGGCAUUACAAUUUAUGCAUUCUAGACCAUUUGUUUAUAUGUUUAUAUAUCUGGAAAUAUUAUGAUAUGUUGAAUUUUAGACUUACAUCCUGGUAUUUCCAUCUAUAUAUUCCUUGCACAUAAUUAUUGUGAACGCUCCGAAGUGCAAAGGUGAACGCAGGACACACAGGUAAGUUUAGGUAAGUAUGCGGUAUUAGUUGAAUUGAUGGGGUUAUGGUAUGACUAAAUUUAUGUUUUAAGCAACUCUGACACUAUCGUACAGGUUGCAAUAGUGGACAACUCCAGUAUUGUCGUACAGGUUAUUUAUGAAUCGUACAUGUUGUAUUAGAUGCAUUUAAAGCUCAUAAACCUGCACCCCAAUGUUAGUGUUUCCGCCUGUGGCCAGGGCACAAUACUUCACGUAAUGUUCACCUCCUGCACCAUGCGCUCACCUUGAAUUCAAGGUAGGUGCACAGGCUUGUCGUACAAACCACUAUAGGUGGUUCCGACUCGUAUGCGACUCUUCACGUGAUUGUAGCACUUAAGCGUAUUCAUUUACACCCAGUCUUGUCAUACAGACCACUACAGUGGUUCUGACUAGUGUGCAAAUGUAAUGCCGUAUAGGUCACUAUAAGUGACUCCGGCUAGAUUGAUUGAUAAGAUAUAAAUAUGCCGUAUAGGUCACUAUAGGUGACUCUGGCUAGAUUGAUUGAUGAGAUAUGAAUAUGUCGUAUAGGUCACUAUAGGUGACUCCAGCUAGAUUGAUUGAUGAGAUAUGGAUAAGUCGUACAGGUCACUAGAGGUGACUCCCGACUUAUGAGCUAGCAUAUGUGAUGAGAUAUGUGAUGAGCUAGCAUAUGUGAUGAAAUAUGUGAUGAGCUAGCAUAUGUGAUGAGAUAUGGGUAAGUCGUACAGGUCAUCCUAGGUGACUCUGACUUACGUAGUAGUAUGAGUUAUUAAUCGCAUGAUUAUUUGAUAUUACUGAUGAGAUGUUGUAUUGUGGUAUAUUAUGAUUUUUCUGGAAAUUAUACAGGUGUUGCAGUGAGGGGUUAUAAUGUUUUAUAUGGUUUCUAUUAAAAUCUUACUUACAGGGCCACUUACCUUUGUCUUAUCUUCACCCUCCAGGUUUUAUCAGCUGAGCUUUCUUAUCGUCGAAGAUUCAUGGCGAUUCUUAGUAUUGGAGAUUAUUUCGAGGGUACAAUUCUUAAUUCACUCUUCUGUACUUACUUAUGUUGUAACGUUACGUGUGAAGUGGGUUUAUUCCCGCUCACCAGUGCACUCUGGUAUUUAGGCACUCUUAGGUUUAAAUUUAUUCACAAUUUUUCCACAUCAUCACACUUUAUGGCUUCGUCACCUUCCAGGUGUCGGCCAAUACAACUCGAUUUGGAGUCCUAGUGG
rnacentral:lncRNA from 1 species